GGCCAUAACAUGUGAGCAUAUGCAUUCGUGUACCCUGUGAUGGAGUGGCAUCUCAUUCAGGAUGUUCUCCUGCCUUGUGCCCUCGACUGCUAUGGAUGGACUCGAGGCCCACCAGGGAUUCUGUGCUUUGUAAGAGGUUGGAGGAGGGAUGCAUAAAGGUUCUGUUUCAGAUUUACGCCUUAAUUCAUGAAAUAGAACAUUUUGCAACUGGAUUCUAGUUUCCCGUAAGGCUGGGUUAUUGAUACAUCAAUGAAAUAUUGCAAUGUAGGAAUUUGGCCCUAAAGAGGUGCCCAUUUGCACUGGCUGCCAGGUGGGUAAUUGAGCAGGGGUUGUGAUGGCUGGUAGGCAGGGGCCUAUAGGGGAAUAAGAUCAGUACUCAUUGCAUGCAACUAAUUAAGUAAUUAGUAAUAAUGAGCCAAUUAUGUUUUAAACCAGUAACAACUGCAGUUUAAUACAGUGCCAAGGGUAUAAGAUGUCAGGGUUGCGUGAUUAUUUCUGGUUGGGAGGCAGAAUAUAGCCAGUGAAUGUGAUUGUUUGCGAUUGUGGUCCAUGUGAAUGACACCAGUAUCUUUCCUAGUUGUAGGUGCAUCCUGCGACUGGAUGCGGUCUUGCACAGGCCAGCUGACCAUUCAGCCCCGAGUUUUGAAUCAGAAGGCAAUGACUGAGUCUGCGUGAGCUGGAUGUGAUCAUCGUGAGCUGGGUGUGACUGCACUAGCAUCUCUGCAGGCUCCCUCUGUGCCCGUCGACAGUCUUCAUUUGAAUGCUGAGGCCUGCAGAGUCAAUGCCAGUGGGCUCUUACUCCCACUGGCUCUGGGGAUGAUGGCAUCUUGCCCUUUGACCCUGAAACAUGAUCUUGUCUCUAUUUCUUGGAAAGGCAUGAAGACUAAUUCCCCAUAUGGAUUAAUAAAAUACUUUUUUU